ensembl:snoRNA
UGGACCAAUGAUGACCACUGGUGGCGUAUGAGUCAUGGAUGAUGAAUACGUGUCUGGAACUCUGAGGUCCAG